CAGCCGCCGCGGUAAUACGUAGGGGGCGAGCGUUGUCCGGAAUUAUUGGGCGUAAAGCGCGCGCAGGCGGUCCUUUAAGUCUGAUGUGAAAGCCCACGGCUCAACCGUGGAGGGUCAUUGGAAACUGGGGGACUUGAGUGCAGGAGAGGAGAGCGGAAUUCCACGUGUAGCGGUGAAAUGCGUAGAGAUGUGGAGGAACACCAGUGGCGAAGGCGGCUCUCUGGCCUGUAACUGACGCUGAGGCGCGAAAGCGUGGGGAGCAAACAGGAUUAGAUACCCUGGUAGUCCACGCCGUAAACGAUGAGUGCUAAGUGUUAGAGGGGUCACACCCUUUAGUGCUGUAGCUAACGCGAUAAGCACUCCGCCUGGGGAGUACGGCCGCAAGGUUGAAACUUAAAGGAAUUGGCGGG
rnacentral:rRNA from 1 species